AGAAUCAACGCUGGCGGCGUGCCUAACACAUGCAAGUCGCACGAGAAAGGGACUUCGGUCCUGAGUACAGUGGCGCACGGGUGAGUAACACGUGAAUCAUCUACCUCCGAGUGGGGAAUAACCUAGAGAAAUCUGGGCUAAUACCGCAUAACACUUACGAGUCAAAGCAGCAAUGCGCUUGGAGAGGAGUUCGCGGCAGAUUAGUUAGUUGGCGGGGUAAUGGCCCACCAAGACGAUGAUCGGUA
rnacentral:rRNA from 1 species